rnacentral:tRNA from 1 species
CAAGAUGUAGCUUAAU